AAAGAUUAAGCCAUGCAUGUCUAAGUAUAAGCACUCUUUUACUGUGAAACUGCGAAUGGCUCAUUAAAUCAGUUAUCGUUUAUUUGAUAGUACCCUACUACAUGGAUACCUGUGGUAAUUCUAGAGCUAAUACAUGCGCAAAACCCCGACUUCGGAAGGGGUGUAUUUAUUAGAUAAAAAACCAAUGCCCUUCGGGGCUCCUUGGUGAUUCAUAAUAACUUCACGAAUCGCAUGGCCUUGCGCCGGCGAUGGUUCAUUCAAAUUUCUGCCCUAUCAACUUUCGAUGGUAGGAUAGUGGCCUACCAUGGUGG
rnacentral:rRNA from 2 species